rnacentral:tRNA from 1 species
GGUUCUGUGCUCCGGGGGGCCUCUGCCUGGCCAUGCAGAUGUUCCAGGUUCGAAUCCUGGCAGGACCC